rnacentral:rRNA from 1 species
AUAAUGGAGAGUUUGAUCCUGGCUCAGGACGAACGCUGGCGGCGUGCCUAAUACAUGCAAGUCGAGCGGAACCAUUGGAGCUUGCUCCUUUGGUUUAGCGGCGGACGGGUGAGUAACACGUGGGCAACCUGCCCUGCAGAUCGGGAUAACUCCGGGAAACCGGUGCUAAUACCGAAUAGUUUGCGGCCUCUCAUGAGGCUGUACGG